GUAUUCUGAAAGAACAAUGAGCUCCAUUAUUACUCCUGAGUGUGAAGAGCAGUUGCAAACUAAAUCAGCUUUGAGGAGGAGAAAGAUGUAGCUCUCAUCUCUCAGUGAACAAAUCUUGUCUUUACAACAUAUGGAGAUGAUGACAGAAAACCACAAAAGAUCAACAUGUAGAGACAUGAGACGAUUUAGUGCUCAUCCCCAGCUGAUCCAUCUACAACAUAAUGGCUGCACCUAGGGCUCUGGAAACAUCUGGGAAGAAGGAGCAGAAAGAGAAUAAGAGCCAGAGGGACUGGACAUCUGUUGUAAAAAUUGUGUCCCCUAGAUAUGUCAGGGAGCUUCCCCCAAGUAGUACAAAUAAUAUGGCUGCCUAAAGAAGGAAGACACCAACAGGUGUAUUAAUGUGGAAGCACUAGAAAUUUCACAGGACCCUAUCCCUACACAAAGAACCAUAAGCAAAUUAUGUGAAGAAAUAUGGAAGUGGAAAGAGAGAGAAUAAAGAGAGUGUCCUGUGUCAUUAGGAAAUCUGCCCAAGACCAUGAUCUUUACAGGAUCUGCAAAGGCAAGAGACCGACAGGGAGAUGUGAACCCCUCUCUUCAGUUCUGGCUGUACAGAAAUAGCCUAGACUUCGUGAGAAAAUAAAAUUCAAAUAUUGAAUUCCCACCUGUAAAUGGUGGUAUUAAGUGAUAAAGUCUCUGGGAAGAAGUUAUGUCAUGAAACUGAAGCCUCUGUAAAGAAAAUUAAUAUCCCCUCAAAGGGACUCUUGCAAGCUCUCAUUGUUUUUUUUUGUCCUGCCAUCAUGUGAAUACAGAAUGCCAAAUCAUCAGUGUGCAACACAGAAGAGAACUCUCAACAGAACCCAGCCAUGAUGGACAAAGAAAUCUGUUUCUGAUACCAUGAAUCUCAACUACUGAAGUUUCUUUGAAUGGAGUGAGAUUCAAUCUGUGGAUAAAAGAGCAGUUUAUAUAACAGAAUAAAAUAUUUGCAACGGAUAAGGAGCUAAUGACCUGUAUCAAGAAAGGACUUCUAGGAUUUGACAAAAGAAAGCAUCCGAACACUGCCAAUCCUUAAGAAAACACAAUCAGAAACACUGAGAACUAUGACAGGGUCUCAUGCAUCCCUAUGGGUAGCAUCUAAUAACGACGUCUCAAGUGUUGACGGGGAGAGGAAGAAUACAUACAUGCGAUGUGGUGGUGAGACUCCUGUGGCAAAGGAGCAGCAUGACGGCUCGCUCCUAUUUAAAAAAAAAAAACAAAAAACAAAAAACAAAAAAACAAAACUGGAAUUGCCUUAAUAAAGAAGAAUUUCCUCCCC